rnacentral:RNase_P_RNA from 1 species
CGAGUAAGUCAGAUGAUCGCGUCCACAGUUCUACUGUGGACGAGGAAAGUCCGAGCUCCAAAGGGCAGGGUGCUGGGUAAUCCCCAGUGGAGGUGACUCCAAGGAAAGUGCAACAGAGAGAUACCGCCUGAUAGCAAUGUCGGGUAAGGGUGGAAAGGUGAGGUAAGAGCUCACCAGCAGUUAGGCGACUAGCUGGCUAUGUAAACCCCAUCUGGAGCAAGACCAAGUAGGGACAAAAAAGCGGCGGCCCGUCGUGUCCCGUGGUAGGUCGCUUGAGCCAAUUGGCAACAAUUGGCCUAGAUAGAUGAUCGUCAAAUACAGAACUCGGCUUAUAGAUUUGCUCGCUUA